rnacentral:rRNA from 1 species
UACGAAGGGGGCUAGCGUUGCUCGGAAUCACUGGGCGUAAAGCGCACGUAGGCGGAUCUUUAAGUCGGGGGUGAAAUCCUGGAGCUCAACUCCAGAACUGCCUUCGAUACUGAGGAUCUCGAGUCCGGGAGAGGUGAGUGGAACUGCGAGUGUAGAGGUGAAAUUCGUAGAUAUUGGGAAGAACACCGGUGGCGAAGGCGGCGCUCUGGACCGAGACUGACGCUGAGGCGCGAAAGCGUGGGGAGCAAACAGG